GCGGUGGAUGAUGUGGUUUAAUUCGAUGCAACGCGAAAACCUUACCACCUUUGACAUGUACGGAAUCCUUUAGAGAUAGAGGAGUGCUCGAAAGAGAGCCGUAACACAGGUGCUGCAUGGCUGUCGUCAGCUCGUGUCGUGAGAUGUUGGGUUAAGUCCCGCAACGAGCGCAACCCUUGUCAUUAGUUGCUACGAAAGGGCACUCUAAUGAGACUGCCGGUGACAAACCGGAGGAAGGUGGGGAUGACGUCAAGUCCUCAUGGCCCUUAUAGGUGGGGCUACACACGUCAUACAAUGGCUGGUACAAAGGGUUGCCAACCCGCGAGGGGGAGCCAAUCCCAUAAAGCCAGUCGUAGUCCGGAUCGCAGUCUGCAACUCGACUGCGUGAAGUCGGAAUCGCUAGUAAUCGUGGAUCAGCAUGUCACGGUGAAUACGUUCCCGGGUCUU
rnacentral:rRNA from 1 species